CUGGCCUUGAAUCAAGGCCGGCAGCUUCCUGAUGCUGUUGGUUUCAAGCAAGAGCCUAAAGAGAUGUCUUUCAGGGCUGGGGAUUUAGCUCAGCAGCAUAA
ensembl:snoRNA